rnacentral:rRNA from 1 species
UACGGAGGGUGCGAGCGUUGUCCGGAAUCAUUGGGCGUAAAGGGCGCGUAGGUGGCCCGGUCAGCGUGCGGUGAAAGCUCGGGGCUCAACCCCGAGUCGGCCGUGCGAACUGCUGGGCUUGAGCACUGUAGAGGCAGGCGGAAUUCCGGGUGUAGCGGUGGAAUGCGUAGAGAUCCGGAAGAACACCGGUGGCGAAGGCGGCCUGCUGGGCAGUGGCUGACACUGAGUGAGCGAAAGCCAGGGGAGCAAACGGG